UACAGAGGGGGGCAAGCGUUGUUCGGAAUUACUGGGCGUAAAGGGCGCGUAGGCGCCUUCUAAGUCGAACGUGAAAUCCCCGGGCUCAACCCGGGAACUGCGUCCGAUACUGGAAGGCUUGAAUCCGGGAGAGGGAUGCGGAAUUCCAGGUGUAGCGGUGAAAUGCGUAGAUAUCUGGAGGAACACCGGUGGCGAAGGCGGCAUCCUGGACCGGCAUUGACGCUGAGGCGCGAAGGCGUGGGGAGCGAACGGG
rnacentral:rRNA from 1 species